rnacentral:rRNA from 1 species
GGCCAGACUCCUACGGGAGGCAGCAGUGGGGAAUAUUGCACAAUGGGGGAAACCCUGAUGCAGCAACGCCGCGUGGGUGAAGGAGCGUUUCGGCGCGUAAAGCCCUGUCAGCGGGGAAGAAGAAAGACGGUACCCGACCAAGAAGCCCCGGCUAACUACGUGCCAGCAGCCGCGGUAAUACGUAGGGGGCGAGCGUUAUCCGGAUUUACUGGGUGUAAAGGGAGCGUAGACGGCAUGGCAAGUCUGAAGUGAAAGCCCGGGGCUCAACCGCGGGACUGCUUUGGAAACUGUUAAGCUGGAGUGCAGGAGAGGUAAGUGGAAUUCCUAGUGUAGCGGUGAAAUGCGUAGAUAUUAGGAGGAACACCAGUGGCGAAGGCGGCUUACUGGACUGUAACUGACGUUGAGGCUCGAAAGCGUGGGGAGCAAACAGGAUUAGAUACCCCUGUAA